rnacentral:rRNA from 1 species
GGGCUUGACAUCCCACGAACCUGCCGGAAACGGUGGGGUGCCGCAAGGAACAGUGAGACAGGUGGUGCAUGGUUGUCGUCAGCUCGUGUCGUGAGAUGUUGGGUUAAGUCCCGCAACGAGCGCAACCCUUGUUCUCUGUUGCCAUCAGGUUAUGCUGGGCACUCUGAGGAGACUGCCGGUGAUAAACCGGAGGAAGGUGGGGAUGACGUCAAGUCAGCAUGGCCUUUAUGUCUGGGGCUACACACGUGCUACAAUGGCCAGUACAAACCGCUGCGAUCCCGCGAGGGGGAGCUAAUCGGAGAAAACCGGUCUCAGUUCGGAUUGUAGGCUGCAACUCGCCUGCAUGAAGUUGGAAUCGCUAGUAAUCGCAGAUCAGCAGGCUGCGGUGAAUACGUUCCCGGGCCUUGUACACACCGCCCGUCACAUCACGAAGGCCGGCUGUACUCGAAGUCGCUGAG